GUGACGGGUGACAGAUUGCUCCAGCUGUCUGCUGGCCACCACCAGCUCCAGUGGGUGUUUCCCACUGGUUUUCCCUGCACCUCCAUCCCUUUCCAGUUUUCAGGAGUAGAACGGCUGGCAAGGUUUGUCUCUGCACAGCAGACUAUAAAGAUCUUGGACACAAAAUCCUCUGUGGCAUCGCUGCUCCAAGUUACACCAAGGCUGAUUGGACUCACUCAUCUUUACAGUGCUGGAAGAAGUUUCCAGGGAGAAGAAGGAAUUAUUUUUUUUUUCCUUUAUCUUAGUGGAUCCCUUUUGUGUUCUGUCCUUACAUUCUGAAGUAAGAUUUUUCUGACUGAUGCAGCAUCUAGCAGUUCCCCCAACCAGCAAUGAAGCUGCAGAUUAAGCGUGAGGAGGAAAGUACCAGGUCUCCUGCGGCGUGUCUGAAGGUUAAAGUACCAAGGAGCACCCAAGGUCACCUUCAACAAAACUUUGCCACCUCUGAACUACUUUGCUUACUCUGACAUGAAAGAGGACUCUGCUAACAGAUUUUUUUCCCCAUCAUAAUUCGUGGCUCAAGAGGAACAGAGUCCAAACUUCUGGACUUCUGGAUGGAUCCUUCCAGCUGGAACUUGACACAGAAGCCCUGCAGAGGUGUGGAAUGGAGAGAUGGUGCUCUCAGGGACCUCCAUCCACGGCCACCCAGGGCUCUCAGACUCUCCAGGAUGAACGUGGACACAUUCCAAGGGCUUGGGCAGCAGGCACCAGAUGGCUGCAGCCCAGUGCUCCUCCCAGCCCAACGUGGCACACACAUGGCCCUGCCCAGGGUGCAGGAGCUGGCAGGGGCACCACUGAAACUCCAGCAGUGCCACACUUCACUGAGCUCUGGAAAAGUGACCUCGUGGCUCCCUGCACAAAACUGCCUCACACAGUACAGAUUUACCCACACGAGCCCUCAGCUGUUUCACUUCCUGCAGGUCCCUUGUCAUCCUUUCAUUACCUCCUGUCCUUUCGGAGUGAAACCACAUUUUACUUAAAAAAGGCUAUGAAGAGCAAAUGCAGCUGUAGCUGAACAAACAAGCCCAGCCUGUGGGUGCACCAGACUUUCUGAGCAAUCUUGCAGCAGUUUCUCAUUUACACUGAAUGAACUGACCUCCUCUUUGCUGUAUCAUCAAAAAUAACUUCUUUGCCUGCAUAGUAUCUAAUUUUUAAUCUUUAUUUUCCUGCUGAAUCUUAUGCAGGCUUUCUAAAGAAUUUCUUGUUUGUUAAGAGUAAGGCAGAGAUUCCUAAAUCACUGAAAAAUAGUCUUGUUUACUUAACUUUUGGAUAAUGCAAACAACUUACAUAUACAUUUACUUUUUAAAUUUUCCUCUGGCUAUUGAAUUUGUACAUUAUUAGCGUCUUGCUAAGCUCUCUAUAAAUCUUUCAGAAAGAGUCAC